rnacentral:rRNA from 1 species
CAUGUAGGCGGUUGUUUAAGUCUGAUGUGAAGCCCUGGGCUCAACCCAGGAAGUGCAUUGGAUACUGGACAACUUGAGUACGGGAGAGGAAAGUGGAAUUUCGAGUGUAGGGGUGAAAUCCGUAGAUAUUCGAAGGAACACCAGUGGCGAAGGCGGCUUUCUGGACCGAUACUGACGCUGAGAUGCGAAAGCGUGGGGAGCAAACA